rnacentral:lncRNA from 1 species
CGCAUCACCAUUAAAAAAAGGAGAUGCUCUCCAUUUUAGUGCACACAAGCGUAGAGCUUCAAAUAUCUCACCUUCAUGAACCAUAAAAACAUUACUUGACUGAGUAAAAAACGGAAGAGCAUAACAUCUGCAGUUACUCAAGAGAGUGGGGCUACUAAUUAAGCAUGGAUUUUCAUGUACCAAAUGAAGAUUCUAGAUUUAUUAACUUAACAAAUUACCAGUCCCAAAGGUCGAGGCAGGUGCAUGGAAACACAUUUCUUACAAUAACUAUCCUGAUGCAGAAAAACUCACCGGUAUCAGUCACGGUACAUGAAGACAGAAGCAAUAAAAAAUAGCAGUAUAAAAGGAAUCUUGAAAAAAAAUUAUAAAGGAAGAAAACUUGGUCAUGAAUGCACUGGUUGCAUCUUUCGUGCUAAUUGUCCGCUGUUGAGACAAAUAAAGACAAUGGCAUAUUCAAAAUGAGGCUAAAAUUAUUACUGACUUAGUUCUAAUUCCAUAUAGUAAUUAAAAUGCUUAGAAAGAUGCGGUGUGACGCCCGGAUAAUUAAGCUAUAGUAACCCUCUACUAAAGACGCCACGUCACCUCGAUUUCUGUUAAUAAACUCGCGUUAGUUCGAAAUAUUCAAAUUCAAAUUUUGAAUUUAAGUCAAACAAUAAAAGUUUUCAAACAUUAAAAUAAAAAUGUUCGGUUUGUACCAAAUAUUACAUAGAUAAUUAUGGUGUAGAGGACAUAAAUAUUUUAACUUGAAUUAAAAUAGAAGAGAAAAUAAAUAAAAGAAAGAAAAUACAAAAGAGAAAAACAAACAAAAAAAGGAAAAGAAACCCCCCGGGGCUCCGGCCCAGCAGGCCACCGGCCCAACUGGGCCACGACCUACCAGGCCGGCCCAGCUCCCCCCUGGCCCAACCGGCCUCCCCAUAUCCCCAUCCCCGAAACCCUAACCCANNNNNNNNNNNNNNNNNNNNNNNNNNNNNNNNNNNNNNNNNNNNNNNNNNNNNNNNNNNNNNNNNNNNNNNNNNNNNNNNNNNNNNNNNNNNNNNNNNNNNNNNNNNNNNNNNNNNNNNNNNNNNNNNNNNNNNNNNNNNNNNNNNNNNNNNNNNNNNNNNNNNNNNNNNNNNNNNNNNNNNNNNNNNNNNNNNNNNNNNNNNNNNNNNNNNNNNNNNNNNNNNNNNNNNNNNNNNNNNNNNNNNNNNNNNNNNNNNNNNNNNNNNNNNNNNNNNNNNNNNNNNNNNNNNNNNNNNNNNNNNNNNNNNNNNNNNNNNNNNNNNNNNNNNNNNNNNNNNNNNNNNNNNNNNNNNNNNNNNNNNNNNNNNNNNNNNNNNNNNNNNNNNNNNNNNNNNNNNNNNNNNNNNNCUUGUGAGCCCCCCUCCUUCCCCUUUUCCCCGCUGUCACCGCCGCGCGCAGACCACGUCCGCUCGCGGCCCUGCACCCCGCCGUGCUCUGGACGCGCGCUCCCACUACCGCCCGCACAUGGCCGACCCUGCCUGACCGCGCUUCCCGCCACACCGGACGCAUCCUGCGCUCCCUUGCUCCACGGCUGCUAUUGCCUCCGCUAGCCACCGCACCCGCCGUGCCGCUACCUCCCCAGGUUGCCAUGGCCUCGCCUGUGCCACUUCCUUGCCGCCCCGGCCGCCUGGCCGGCGCCGUGUCCACCGGCCUUCCUAUGCUCCGGCGCCCCUGGGCGUGCGCCCGAAUGAACGGGUGCUGGGCACCCAUUGCGCCCGAACCCGCCAACGCCGGCGCCCGCUAAGGCCCUGGGGCCUAUGACAGAUGGGCCCCACGCCCAGAACGUUUUUAGAAGAAAAUAAUAAUAAUAAUCAUCAAAUAAAAAUGAAUUUAAUUAAUUAAUUAAUUAAUUAAGUUAAUUAAUCCUACUUAAUUAGUCUAAAUUAACCUGUUAGUCUAACUGAACAGUAAUAAGUUUAACUAAACCCUAGUUACCUAAACAGAGUAUGACAGGUGGGUCCCACUGGACCCACAUGUCAGAUUGACCCAGUCAACCCCUGUUGACUGCUAACGUCAUGAUGACGUCAGCAAACACUAUUCUGGAUAAUGUUGAAAUUAAAUAGUUAAAUAAAUCCUAAAAAUGAUUUAAAUCUUUUAAAAUUAAUAUAAAAUAAACCGUAGCUCAGAUGAAAAUACUUUCUACAUGAAAGUUGCUCAGAACGACGAGACGAAUCCGAAUGCGCAGCCCGUUCGUCCGACACACACCCCUAACCUAUCGAACUCGCAACUUUCCCCCUCCGGUUCCUCUGACCGAAAACACGAAACACCGGGGAUACUUUCCCAGAUGUUUUCCCCCUUCGUCGGUACCACCUACUACCGCGUUGGGGCAUGCCUAGCAACACGCCUUGUCUUGUCAUGCAUCGUCAUGCAUUUGUUUGCAUUGUAUUUAUUGUUUCUUCCCCCUCUUCUCUCGCUAGACCCCGAGACAGACGCCGCUGCUACCCAGUUCGACUACGGAGUUGACGACCCCUCCUACUUGCCAGAGCAACCAGGAAAGCCCCCCCCCUGAUCACCAGAUAUCGCCUAUUCUCCUCUAUACUGCUUGCGUUAGGGUAGUGUAGCAUGUUACUGCUUUCCGUUAAUCCUUUUCUGAUGCAUAGCCUGACAUUGUUGCUACAUCUGUUGAUACCUUACCUGCCAUAUCCUAAAUACUUAGUAUAGGAUGCUAGUUUAUCAUCAUUGGCCCUACAUUCUUGUCAGUCUGCCUUGCUAUACUAUUGGGCCGUGAUCACUCGGGAGGUGAUCACGGGUAAAUACUAUACAUAGAUACAUACUAUACAGAUGGUGACUAAAGUCGGUUCAGCUCGAUGAGUACCCGCAAGUGAUUCUGAUGAGGGGGCUGAAAGGACAGGUGGCUCCAUCCCGGUAGAGGUGGGCCUGGGUUCCCGACGGCCCCGGACUGUUACUCUGUGGCGGAGCGACAGUGCAGGUUGAGACCACCUAGGCGAGGGGUGGGCCUGGCCCUGGUCGGCGUUCGCGGUUGCUUCAUAAUGACACGCUUAACGAGAUCUUGGUAUUUGAUCUGAGUCUGGCCACUGGCCUAUACGCACUAACCAACUACGCGGGAACAGUUAUGGGCACUCGACGUCAUGGUAUCAGCCGAAGCCUUCUUGACGUCAGCGACUGAGCGGCGCGCGCCGGGUUGGACUGCGUUAACGCAACUUCCUUUGUAAUGGAGGUUGCUAGGUAUGCUCACCGGCCGCGUACGCAACGUGGAGGUGUGCAAUGGACGAUGGGCCCAGACCCCUGCGCGCAUAGGAUUUAGACCGGUGUGCUGACCUCUCUGUUGUGCCUAGGUGGGGCUGCGACGUGUUGAUCUUUCGAGGCCGGGCAUGACCCAGGAAAGUGUGUGUGGCCAAAUGGGAUCGAGCGUGUUGGGUUAUGUGGUGCACCCCUGCAGGGAAGUUAAUCUAUUCGAAUAGCUGUGAUCUUCGGUAACAUGACAACUUGGAGUUGUACCUUGACCUUAUGACAACUAGAACCGGAUACUUAAUAAAACACACCCUUCCAAGUUCCACAGACAACUCGGUGAUCGCUUUUCCACAGGGCGACGAGGGGAGGAUCGCCGGGUAGGAUUAUGCUAUGCGACGCUACUUGGAGGACUUCAAUCUACUCUCUUCUACAUGUUGCAAGACGGAGGCUGCCAGAAGCGUAGUCUUCGAUAGGACUAGCUAUCCCCCUCUCAUUCUGGCAUUCUGCAAUUCAGUCCACUGAUAUGGCCUCCUUACACAUAUACCCAUGCAUAUGUAGAGUAGUUCCUUGCUUGCGAGUACUUUGGAUGAGUACUCACGGUUGCUUUCUCCCCCUUUUUCCCCCUUUUCUUUCUUUCUGGUUGUCGCAACCAGAUGCUGGAGUCCAGGAGCCAGACACCACCGUCGACAACGACUCCUACUACGCUGGAGGUGCCUACUACUACGUGCAGCCCGCUGACGACGACCAGGAGUAGUUAGGAGGAUCCCAGGCAGGAGGCCUGCGCCUCUUUCGAUCUGUAUCCCAGUUUGUGCUAGGCUUCAUAAGGCAAACUUGUUUAACUUAUGUCUGUACUCAGAUAUUGUUGCUUCCGCUGACUCGUCUAUGAUCGAGCACUUGUAUUCGAGCCCUCGAGGCCCCUGGCUUGUAUUAUGAUGCUUGUAUGACUUAUUUAUGUUUUAGAGUUGUGUUCUGAUAUCUUCCCGUGAGUCCCUGAUCUUGAUCGUACACAUUUGCGUGCAUGAUUAGUGUACGAUUGAAUCGGGGGCGUCACAAGUUGGUAUCAGAGCCGACUGCCUGUAGGAAUCCCCCUUCCACACUCAUUGGCCGAAGUCGAGUCUAGUCAUUGAAAAACUUUUACUAACAUGGUUGUGUAACUUACGGGCCCACAUCGUCAUUGGGUGGUAUUAGGAUCUUUUACUCCUUGUCUAUACUCGGGGACUCUGAUCUCUCUUCUAUUCAGGUUAAAUGAUUUUGCUAAAAGGACUAACUUUAGGUUCUCAAAAAUACUUUCUCCCGGAGAGCCCCUCACUCUAGUUGAUCGCUUUGCUGCACCAGAAGAUUCCGAAGAUACUCUCCGAGGUUUUCCCGAGACCCUGGUGCCCACCGACUUUACAAUCCACUACCACCGAUAUACCCUUAUGGAUAACUACCUACAAUUGUCGUUCAUACCUUCGUCCUCAGUUGCUCUUGUUAUUACAAGAUGCCCUAAAUUGCUCUCCAUUGUUCGGAAAAUCCUUUAAGCUUACUGCCUUGUAGUUCUUUACCACAUGAAUAUCCCUAUUGAAAAUUCCUCGCACUUAUUGAGUGUCUGUUCAUCCCCAGUUGUUCAUAUGCUUCAUAAGAUACUCUGAAAUACUAUCCGACCUUCUGAGCAUCCUCUUCAAACUAUUGCUCUGCAAAUACUUGAAUCCUUACAUUAUGGAUGCUCCCAUAUCACUAGCAAUAUUCACUAGUAUCUUUUGACACCGUCAUUUUGAUCCAAUUGAUUCAACAUGUGUGCGAAUGCACACAAUCAUCUAUCAACCCUUCUAAAUUAUUUUUCCGGCUCAGACGUCAUUUUGAACAUGAGCUGGUUCUCGACCAAACUAUUUGUCAUCAAUUGUGCCUCCGGUCUAUCCAACUUAUCCAUCCUUGAUCAGAGCGUCUGCUUCUGAUCAUUUGUUUUAGAAGUCAUAAUUCCUUUCUUAUCUAAGCAUCGAAUUAUUCUGAUGUUCUAUAAUAUGAUGCCCGUGCAUUCUUUCUGGAGUACCGAUACUCACAUCAGCUCCGUUGUGGAUCGCCCGACCCAUUGUUGGAUUUCAUCCGACAUCGUCCUUCAUAUUCAAUAACCUUGUGAGCUUUUCCACGGGUAUAUAAUGCCUUUGGUAAAUUGUAUCCUCUGCUUUGUCAACCAUGCUCUACUUUCGAGCUGGUGAUAAUUACUCCUGAUGUUUGUGGUAUAUGUUCCUAAAAUGCCCCUAUGGGUUGAACCUAUGCCUUCCCUAACCAUAUGCACCCGAGAGUUUUCACGAGUCAUACUCUUCUGGUGUUUUGCCAGAUAAUAUUUCAACACUACAACUUCAUCGAAAGCGAGAAGUGAAUGUAAGGUUAUGCAUUGAGGAAGUGGGAGUCGACCUUGAACCUUUGUGUUCAUGCCCAUGGAAACAAUGUAGAUCGUAUCAUUAAAGCUUCUCUUGAAUAAAUAUUUCCUUGGUAUAAGUUUAUCUUAUAUCUGGGAUCUGGCAUUUUGCAAUCGUUGUUCCGGCCAUGUUCUCCUUUAAAUAUCAUUUCUCGGACAAGUUGAAGUACUUGUCUUCUGCAGAUCUUUGCACCUGUCCAACCUUUACUUUGAUCUACCAUCGAGUAUUACACUCUGGUAUCUCGAAAAUAUCAUGGAACUGCAUAACUUUUUAUGGGUUCUUCAUCAACUGUUAUUUCUCACCGAUUCCAAUUUUCCUAGGUUCUGGGUUGUCGUCAACCGAGAACACCGAUAUGUGAACCGAGUCUGCACUAUGGUUCAAUAACUCUAAGUAAUCUUCAUUGCUUAUGAGUUUAUUAAUCCUUCAAGUCAUUCCUAGCCUGGUCGGCUAUAUCAUUAUCGUGCUAAGUUUUAACUAUGCUACCUGCUCUUUAUUCCCGGAGCACAAUUUUCGACGAUGAGCUUAGCUUAUGUCGACCUUACUCAUCAUAGCAUUUCUCCUUGAAUAGCAAGCUUGAUUUCGAGUUUGUGUCGUAUCCGUGGUUCCAAUAACCUUUCGCUUCAUCAUUCCUUUGACUUGAUGUCAUCGCCGAUCGAUUACAUCUUCAUGGAAUCUCUUGACAAAUGUGUCGUGAUCAUCAUCAGCAUUCCGAGCUCUUCCAAGAUAUCAAUCGAAUUCAUGAUGGGAAAUACCAUCCUUGCCCCUCGAUGAUUUGUGUAACCAUCGACAACAUUCUUACCUUCCCCCAACACAAACUUGUUCGUGUUUUGUGUUAUACCUUGCUAUCCAACAUUUGUUCUCCUUUACCUUGGAGUAUUGCCAUCUUUUAUGUCAAGAAUGUCGUGAGAAUUUUGCCACCUCUUGAGAAUUCCUGAUACAAGUGAUGCUUCUCACCAUCACCAUUCCUUCUUGGUCCCCGUGUUACUUAUAACCGGAAUGCCGAAAAAUGAACUAUGAAUUGUGAAUUCAAAACUUCUAGCAACCCUAUUGCUUGUAAGUUACGAAUGAUAGUUUCUUUCUUCAAGUGUUGAUUAUUGACUCAUCAUUCUAACAUUGAUCAUGUCACUUAGUCCAUAUUUUGGAUGCACUUUUCGAUCAAUGUUUAAUUGUGUAUGCUUUCCUCUAGCACACCAUUAUAUCAUUUGAUUUGACAAAUGUUAUCUCCUUGUUCACAUGACUAUGGAAAGCCAUCUUUUUGGAUAUCUUGACGAAAUGUUGCUGAAUCCAUCAGCCACCUCCUCAUCUCUCCUUGGAUUAAUGAUGAACUCUUGCUUCGGAACUCGCUUCCAUUGUACAUUUCCCGAGAAUCUUACAGUGUCGUCUCGUCAUUUGUGUUGCAUCUUUUCUUCUCUGGCAUCCUAAGUCAGAGGUAUCCUGACACCAAUCAGAUCUGAACCUCGGUCAGAUAUGAAGGUUGGGACAUUUCCAAGAGUUAUAGCAUUGGCCUUUUAUGACCCGGUAAGGUGAUGGCAUGUCCAGCACACCUGGCCGGAGGACCUAUUGUUAUAGUUUCCUUUUUGGCAAGGUUAGUCAUUCUACCGUGUGGAAAUUGUAAGACUUAUUUUAUAAGUUGUUCCUGAUGAAUCCUUUGCGUAUGCAAAGACCGACCUUUGCUUGAAGACCAUGUCAAUGCUAUCUCGAAGCAUGUAUGUGGUACUCCUAUCAUCAAUAAGAACAUUUGAAGCACAGUGCUAAAUUUUCCUUAUCAGUUAUCCAAACACCGUUGUAUGGGUACAUAUCAUGAUUCUUCUUAUCCCUUUUAUCUGAAUGGUCAUGCCUUUGGUCUCAUGUCAUGGAUAUCAUUCUCUACUUGACCUUGGUAAGGAUAUACCCCUGAAUUAUGUGUUUAAACACAUUUUUCUGUCCGUUAUUCUGAUUAAAUCUAAUAAACACUUUUCCCUUUCCAUUGGUUUGUUUAAACCCUUUCUAUGAUCUAUAUGAUAUAAGCAGUAACAGUUCCCUACUUGUGCAAACACCUCAAUGAGCAACUCUGUCAGUAAGACCCUGUUACUAUUGUGGAUGACAUUUCUGUAACCACCGAUGGAAGAGAACUUUGCCUAUUUGGUCCGCCUCAUUUCAACGAGCAGGAAAAAGGUUCUCUUCGUCCCUCGCCCUUGGUACCGACGUUGUUACUAACCUAUAACUAACAUGCUAACCUCUGACAUGCCUUGCUCACAUGAUCAUGCAAGACGUCAUCGCCCUUCCUACUUUUAACCCACAUGGUGGGCCCAUAACCCACGGUUCCACAGGAUCGAAACCUGACUCUCUUGUACACCCUGUUUCCAAAGAUAUUCCUCAUGCUUGGCUUUGUAUGUAAUUCACGAGCCACCUUCCGUGUGAUCCUCAGUUCUGGUAUUAAACACAAUACUUAAUUCCGUUGCUCCGAACCCCUUUCACACUUUGUUUCAGGCAACGAACGAUUGCCUGCUAGCUCGAAACUUCCCAUAAUGCCUCCUUACAUUGCUCUCGAUAUUUUCAGAGGUUUCAGUUCGAGAGUUACUUUCCGCCUCCCUCCCCGAUGUUAUCUACCAAAUAGUCAACCUUGCCGAGGUCCGUUCUCCCGGAAUGCUCCCCCUUUAUUCUUUCGUAAGUACGAUGGAGUUUCCGAAGAAAGGAUGCUGACUUCAUCUUAAUGACCUGAAGCAGAAAAAUGAAGACGUCAAUGUAAGGGAUCGACCUCUUCGAGAAGAGCAACCAAGGCCGAGAAGAUCAGUUAGAAUUUCGUAACUAGACCCCCCCUUCUUUACCUCUAAAAUCUCGGGACGAGAUUUCUUGUAGUAGAGGAGAAUUGUGACGCCCGGAUAAUUAAGCUAUAGUAACCCUCUACUAAUGAUACCACGUCACCUCGAUUUCUGUUAAUAAACUCGCAUUAGUUCGAAAUGAUUCAAAUUCAAAUUUUGAAUUUAAGUCAAACAAUAAAAGUUUUCAAACAUUAAAAUAAAAAUGUUCGGUUUCUACUAAAUAUUACAUAGAUAAUUAUGGUGUAGAGGACACAGUUUUAUAAAAUGCAUAAAUAUUUUAACUUGAAUUAAAACAGAAGAGAAAAUAAAUAAAAGAAAGAAAAUACAGAAGAGAAAAACAAAGAAAAAAAGGAAAAGAAACCCCCCGGGGCUCCGGCCCAGCAGGCCACCGGCCCAACUGGGCCACGACCUACCAGGCCGGCCCAGCUCCCCCCUGGCCCAACCNNNNNNNNNNGACCCCGUCGAAGCCACCGCCCCGGAUCACUGUCGUCGUUGCCUCCUCGCCCUCCUCUCCCUCGCGCGGCACCACGUGAAGCCGUGGCCACGCCUCAUCGCCACCCCGCCGCCGCCGCCCGAGGACCUCGCCGGAGCUCCCUCGCCGGUCUGCUUCCUCCUCCUCGCCGGCCUGCCUCCACUUCGUCCGCGUCGUCCCCGACGACCUCCUCGCCUGCCACUGCCCUGUGCCCUGCAACCCCUUGUGAGGCCCCCUCCUUCCCCUUUUCCCCGUGGUCACCGCCGCGCGCUCGCGCUCGCCACGCGCAGACCACGUCUACUCACACCCUGCCUUGCUGAGGCCUCGUUAGCCGCAUCUCGGCUACGCCCUGCGCGUGCACCGCCCGUGCCUCCCACUCGCCGGCCUCGACGCCCGCCCGUGCGAGCCCCGCCACUGCUCCCCUCCUCCUACCCUGCAAUUGAUGCUGCUCGUUGUUGCUGCGGCUGCCGCAGCCCCUGCCGUCGCCCGCUCCCGUUCCAGUCGGCGCCCGAUGGCCCCGUGCCCCGGCAGCCUUGUCCCGCCCUGCGGGCGAGUGCUCGCUUGGGUGCGCCCACACCCGCAUGCCCCUGGGCGUGCGCCCGUAACCCGUCGCCCGCGCCCUGUAUGGCCCUGUGGGCAUAUGACAUAUGGGCCCCGCCCAGAACGUUUAAAAAAUAGUAAUAGUAAUACAAAUAAAUUUAAAUAAUUAAUUAAUUAAUCAAUUAAUUAAAUUAACUCAAUUAAUCCUAUUUAAUUAAUCUAAUUAACCUGUUAGUUUAUCUAAACAGUAAUUAGUUUAACCUAAACCCUAAUUAACCUAAUAGUGUAUGAUAGGUGGGUCCCACUGGACCCACACAUCAGUUUGACCAGUCAACACCUCUAUUGACUGCUGACGUCAUGUUGACAUCAUGAUGAUGUCAUCAAACACUGUUUUGGAUAAUGUUGAAUUAAAUUAAUUAAAUAAAUUCUAAAAAUGAUUUAAAACUUUAGAAAAUCAUAUAAAAUAAACGUAGCUCGGAUGAAAUUCAGAACGGCGACACGAAUCUGGAUACGCAACCCGUUUGUCCACCCCACAUCCCUAGCAUAGCGAACACACAACUUUCCCCCUCCGGUUCAUCUGUCUGAAAACGUGAAACACCGGGGAUACUUUCCCGGAUGUCCCCCCCCCCUUCACCGGUAUCACCUCCUACUGCAUUAGGUCACCUCUAGCACCGCUUAUUGCCAUGUUAUGUUCUGUGAUGCCUUGUGUGCUCCGUAUUUACUGUUUCUUCCCCCUCUUCUCUCCGGUAGACUAUGAGGCCGACGCUGCUGCNNNNNNNNNNUCCUCGCCGGCCUGCCUCCACUUCGUCCGCGUCGUCCCUGACGACCUCCUCGCCCCCCACUGCCCUGUGCCCUGCAACCCCUUGUGAGCCCCCCUCCUUCCCCUUUUCCCCGCGGUCACCACCGCGCGCAGACCACGUCCGCCCGCGGCCCUGCACCCCGCCGUGCUCUGGACGCGCGCGCCCACAACCGCCCGCACAUGGCUGACCCUGCCUGACCGCGCUUCGCGCCACACCGGCCACGUCCUGCGCUCCCCUGCUCCACGACUGCUAUUGCCUCCGCUAGCCACCGCACCCGCCGUGCCGCUACCUCCUCAGGUUGCCAUGGCCUCGCCUGUGUCACUUCCUUGCCGCCCCGGCCGCCUGGCCGGCGCCGUGUCCACCGGCCUUCCUAUGCUCCGGCGCCCCUGGGCGUGCGCCCGAAUGAACGGGUGCUGGGCACCCAUUGCGCCCGAACCCGCCAACGCCGGUGCCCACUAAGGCCCUGGGGCCUAUGACAGAUGGGCCCCACGCCCCAGAACGUUUUUAGAAGAAAAUAAUAAUAAAAAAAAUAAAAAUGAAUUUAAUUAAUUAAUUAAUUAACUAAAUUAAUUAAGUUAAUUAAUCCUACUUAAUUAGUCUAAAUUAACCUGUUAGUCUAACUGAGCAGUAAUAAGUUUAACUAAACCCUAGUUACCUAAACAGAGUAUGACAGGUGGGUCCCACUAGACCCACAUGUCAGAUUGACCCAGUCAACCCCUGUUGACUGCUGACGUCAUGCUGACGUCAUGAUGACGUCAGCAAACACUAUUCUGGAUAAUGUUGAAAUUAAAUAGUUAAAUAAAUCCUAAAAAUGAUUUAAAUCUUUUAAAAUUAAUAUAAAAUAAACCGUAGCUCAGAUGAAAAUACUUUCUACAUGAAAGUUGCUGAGAACGACGAGACGAAUCCGGAUGCGCAGCCCGUUCGUCCAAAACACACCCCUAACCUAUCGAACUUGCAACUUUCCCCCUCCGGUUCCUCUGACCGAAAAUGCGAAACACCGGGGAUACUUUCCCGGAUGUUUUCCCCCUUCGCCGGUACCACCUACUACCGCAUUGGGGCACGCCUAGCAACACGCCUUGUCUUGUCAUGCAUCGUCAUGCAUUUGUUUGCAUUUUAUUUAUUGUUUCUUCCCCCUCUUCUCUCGCUAGACCCCAAGACAGACGCUGCUGCUACCCAGUUCGACUACGGGGUUGACGACCCUCCUACUUGCCAGAGCAACCAGGCAAGCCCCCCCCCUUGAUCACCAGAUAUCGCCUAUUCUCCUCUAUACUGCUUGCAUUAGGAUAGUGUAGCAUGUUACUGCUUUCCGUUAAUCCUAUUCUGAUGCAUAGCCUGACAUUGUUGCUACAUCUGUUGAUACCUUACCCGCCAUCCUAAAUACUUAGUAUAGGAUGCUAGUUUAUCAUCAUUGGCCCUACAUUCUUGUCAGUCUGCCUUGCUAUACUAUUGGGCCGUGAUCACUCGGGAGGUGAUCAUGGGUAAAUACUAUACAUAGAUACAUACUAUACAGAUGGUGACUAAAGUUGGGUCAGCUCGAUGAGUACCCGCAAGUGAUUCUGAUGAGGGGGCUGAAAGGACAGGUGGCUCCAUCCCGGUAGAGGUGGGCCUGGGUUCCCGACGGCCCCCGACUGUUACUCUGUGGCGGAGCGACAGGGCAGGUUGAGACCACCUAGGCGAGGGGUGGGCCUGGCCCUGGUCGGCGUUCGCGGUUGCUUCAUAAUGACACGCUUAACGAGAUCUUGGUAUUUGAUCUGAGUUUGGCCACUGGCCUAUACGCACUAACCAACUACGCGGGAACAGUUAUGGGCACUCGACGUCGUGGUAUCAGCCGAAGCCUUCUUGACGUCAGCGACUGAGCGGCGCGCGCCGGGUUGGACUGCGUUAACGCAACUUCCUUUGUAGUGGAGGUUGCUAGGUCUACUCACCGGCCGCGUACGCAAUGUGUAGGUGUGCAAUGGGCGAUGGGCCCAGACCCCUGCGCGCAUAGGAUUUAGACCGGCGUGCUGACCUCUUUGUUGUGCCUAGGUGGGGCUGCGACGUGUUGAUCUUCCGAGGCCGGACAUGACCCAGGAAAGUGUGUGCGGCCAAAUGGGAUCGAGCGUGUUGGGUUAUGUGGUGCACCCCUGCAGGGAAGUUAAUCUAUUCGAAUAGCCGUGAUCUUCGGUAACAGGACGACUUGGAGUUGUACCUUGACCUUAUGAUAACUAGAACCGGAUACUUAAUAAAACACACCCUUCCAAGUUCCACAGACAACCCGGUGAUCGCUUUUCCACAGGGCGAUGAGGGGAGGAUCGCCGGGUAGGAUUAUGCUAUGCGAUGCUACUUGGAGAUGCUACUUGGAGGACUUCAAUAUACUCUCUUCUACAUGCUGCAAGACGGAGGCUGCCAGAAGCGUAGUCUUCGAUAGGACUAGCUAUCCCCCUCUUAUUCUGGCAUUCUGCAGUUCAGUCCACUGAUAUGGCCUCCUUACACAUAUACCCAUGCAUAUGUAGUGUAGUUCCUUGCUUGCGAGUACUUUGGAUGAGUACUCAUGGUUGCUUUCUCCCCCCUUUUCCCCCUUUCCUUUCUUUCUGGUUGUCGCAACCAGAUGUUGGAGUCCAGGAGCCAGACGCCACCGUCGACAACGACUCCUACUAUGCUGGAGGUGCCUACUACUACGUGCAGCCCGCUGACGACGACUAGGAGUAGUUAGGAGGAUCCCAGGCAGGAGGCCUGCGCCUCUUUCGAUCUGUAUCCCAGUUUGUGCUAGCCUUCUUAAGGCAAACUUAUUUAACUUAUGUCUGUACUCAGAUAUUGUUGCUUCCGCUGACUCGUCUAUAAUCGAGCACUUGUAUUCGAGCCCUCGAGGCCCCUGGCUUGUAUUAUGAUGCUUGUAUGACUUAUUUAUGCUUUAGAGUUGUGUUGUGAUAUCUUCUCGUGAGUCCCUGAUCUUGAUCGUACACACUUGCGUGCAUGAUUAGUGUAUGAUUGAAUCGGGGGCGUCACAUGCGGACUACUUGGCAUUUUAGGAACUGGCCACUGGAAAUAAACCCAUAGGGUCUCGGGUAUUGGUUGUCGGACAUUAUUUCUACAUAUGACUUUUCAGCAAAACCAAGAUAUCAUGAACCAUUACUUCACUAAACAGACAGGUCAGUCACCUUUAGGACAGAUUGUGGUUGCUUAUAUGUGUCAACAAAUUACAAUUUCAUAUGUAGGAGUGGGUCAAUUCAAGCCGUUAGCAAGCAGUCACAUGGCCGAUUAAAAACAGAUAGUUAUGUUUAACAGAAUUUAUAUGGACCAACUAUACUCAAUCCACCAGUCCAGGCUAUGGUAUAGUUAUCCAGCCUAAAUACUCACAUAUAUCAGCCAUGAGUGGAAGUAGUUGACAACAAACUAUGAUCCUAGAAAGUACGACUAAAAGUUUGUCUAUCAAUGUAAAAACAAAAACACAUUUGUAGAUCAGCAAACAGAGGAGAUGCCAACAGUGAAGUAAAACUUCAUCAAGAAUCAUAUUUUCAGGGGAGAACAAAUAGUGCAGACUGUAAAAAGUAUUGCUAGGAUGGCUAAAGACAGUAAAAGCCUGAAACUUGCCAAUUGUAAACAAACACGAAAGCAAGACACAUCACAACAGAACUAGUAGUACAACUCCCAGAUCUCUGGAACAAUUUUCGCUUUGUUAUAUUUUUGCUCCAGAAAUAUAGCCAAAUCCUCACUUCUAGCAGCGCAUAUAAGCAUAUCACUGAGAUAGCGAGGGAAAUGGCGGCCAAAGGAGGGAGCUCAGCAAGAGGAGGGAAAUGGGGAACUCACCUUGGCCUUGGGACCGCUGGUUGCUGCCAUGGAAGAGCUCUGAACCAUGGAGCAGUCACGUACGCGUCUUUGAUUGUUUGUUGCUAUAAUAUACCAACAAUUAGUACCCAAAAUAGAUAUUCUAGAUGGAGACUCUGCAAGUGCACUUACCUUGUCCAAGUCCAAUGCUUUAUGGCUCUGAAUUCCGACAAUAGACCAAGUUCCAGGCCUAAUAAUGCUUCCCUCAAACUUUGUUAUUUCUGAAAAUCUGCAUUUUACAUUGAAUAAAUAUUACAGUACACGACUUAUCACAAGCAGAGAGGAGUGCAGAUGAGGGGACGGGGCUGAGCUAACCUCUCGGCGUAGUGGAACAGGCAGAGGUAGAGGUAGACGGGAUGAGCGUCUUCAGCUCAAGCGACUGCGCCACCGCGUUCUUGACCGCCUGCGCAGCAAGCACACACACGCGCAAUUCAUUCGCCGGAAUCCAGGUGAGAAGACACAAGAAGAGAGGAGGGGGACGCACCUGCGCGAUGAGGGCGACGAGGUGUAUGAGCGCGUCGAAGUUGUCACCGUCGGAGUGGGAGGCAAGGAGCACCGAGACGGC